CCCCCGGCCGUAGGCGGCUGAGGGGGGCGCGCAGAGGCAAUGGCCCCUGGAAGCAAAUUUAAGAACGCUGAACUGAUACUACCAUGUGAAUGGAAAGAAUGCUGCUUUGUGGGGAAAUGCAUGGAGGAAUUUUGUAAUCACGUUGCAGAACACUUGGAAGAGUACCUACAGCACCCCCUGGAAACAGCAUAGCAGUACCGGUGCUGGUGGAGAAGUUGUGAAUUUAAGGAAAAAAAUCCCAGACAGCUGACAACACACGUCAAUUUUCAGUUACCACACCAAACUGAAAUUCAUAGGCUCUCAGUUAUGAGCAUUGCACCGCGAUCUGCCAGAGUGUUUGCAUCAAAGACUUCAGAGGAGUUGUUUGCCAUUGAGAGAGUUGUGAUGUAAGUGAAAUACAUUGAGGUAUUGCCAUUUUAUUUCCUGCUCUAACUUUACCUUAACAUUCUUUGGAUUUGACUCACUAUUGGGAAUUUUUGCUCAAUCUUACCUCUGAACAAUUUUUCCCACUACCUUUGUAAGUAAUACCUGACAAUUAAUAUGGUCGCAUUCACAAAAACAUAGAUAACGUAUUUGCAUAACAUCUGCAACCUCAAAUUCAAAUUUUCUUUCCCUUUGUGGUGACUAAAAUGAUCUUUUUGACAAAGAUGCAACUUCUCUUGUGUUUUAAGAGCAUAUAUGUAAAGCUUCAACAUACCCAGUUUAAUGAUAAAUUAAUGAACUUGGUAGUUUGUAGACAGGUCCAGAGUCUUUAUUGUUUUUCUGAAGAAAGGCAACAGAAUAUCUAAUGUUUCCUCAAUCAGUUGGAAAAGUUUGUUGUUUGUUGUUUUUUUUUUUUACUGGGACAGAAAUCAGAUGUUUGCAACAGGCUGUUCAUAUAAGUUUGAUGUUCAAAUGUGGCCAAGAUUGGUUUCAACUGAAAAUCAUUUGUAUCUUGACCACUUUUAAGUGUCCUGUAUUCAAUAAAAUCAUUAUCCUUUCCGUUCUGACUGUGCUAUUUUCGUAUCAAGU